GACACAGCGAGAGAGGGGACACAAGCAGGGGGAGCGGGAGAGGGAGAAGCAGGCUUCCCGCGGAGCAGGGAGCCCGAUGCGGGGCUCGAUCCCAGGACCCUGGGAUCAUGACCUGAGCCGAAGGCAGACGCUUAACGACUGAGCCACCCAGGCGCCCGACAGUAACUGUUUUAAGGUUGAAGCUUUUUUCUUUGGAAAGCAAAGGAAACCACUGUGGAGAAAUGUGGAAGAUAGUCCUUCAUAAUUAACAGUGAUGUUGUUCAGACAAACCUAGGCACAUCCCAAGAAUUAAACUGACAGAGCAGCCUACACCUAGCAAACUACACCUAGAAGUUACUUAGGUUGCAAGCAGAGGAUAAAAUGGUCACUGCUAUUUGUUUACCCAUGAAAAGUUCCUAGAGGAGUGUAACUCACACAACAAAAGUGACAAUAUUCCUGUCACUCCUCAGAAAUGUCCCAGCUCUGCGGGUUUCCACAUUCAGGAGAAUGAAGAAAGCCAUUACGAGUCGCAGCGCCGCGUUACGUUUCACCUCCC